CUUAUUUAGACAAGGCCAUAUUCACAGUGGACGUUCUCGCCUCCCUUCAGAGAAAGGCAGAGUGGACAGUGAGAGAGAAAGACAGAGAGAAAGGUCACCCUCCCAUGGCCGCUGUGGCCGGCGCGCUGCGGCUGGCGCACCGCGCUGAUCCGAAGCCAGGAGCCAGGUACUUCCUCCUGGUCUCCCAUGGGGUGCAGGGCCCAAGCACUUGGGCCAUCCUCCACUGCACUCCCGGGCCACAGCAGAGAGCUGGACUGGAAGAGGAGCAACCGGGACAGAGCAAACUGGGACAGAUUAAUGGAAGAAGGACGUGGAUCUCCUUAGAGAAAAUGCUUGCGUUCAUCUUCUACAUUGCCCUGCUCCUUUGGAAGCUCUUCUGAUUCAACGGACAAUGUCGUACGUGUGUUUCCUGUUAAACUUCCCUUGCUUCUAUUCCUGCUUGGGUAGCUGAAAAUUCAUUCCACAUGCACUCGUAUACAGACCACAGAUUUGGCAGAAACAGUAAUGAGGUAAAACAGCAAUGGGCAACAUCUUUUCCUACCAAGUACAUAACUCUUUUUGAAUAAUUAGUAACUUACUUGGAUUCUUCAGCCAGAAGAGACCCCAAUUCACUGAAAGCUCUUAGAAUUUCACAGCCGGAAGGAAUACCAGUGCAAUCCAUGAUACCGAGCAGUCAAUCUCCUUACCAGAAUGCAUCUUCCCACCUUUCUUACAUGGAAGUUUUUUCUUUUCAUGAGCAUUUCAGGUUUAGGGAAAUGAGCUUCCAAUAUUUCAACAUUCAGGACUUUAAUCUUUUGGCAUUAUGGCUUUGGGACUUUAGAUUUUAAGAAUUUUGAUUUUUUAGCAUCUCAAUAUUAGGGUUUAUGAUUUUUUUUUUUUGAUAGGCAGAGUGGACAGUGAGAGAGAGAGACAGAGAGAAAGGUCUUCCUUUGCCGUUGGUUCACCCUCCAAUAGCCGCUGUGGCCAGCGCACUGUGGCCGGCGCACCGCGCUGAUCCGAUGGCAGGAACCAGGUGCUUAUCCUGGUCUUCCAUGGGGUGCAGGGCCCAAGCACUUGGGCCAUCCUCCACUGCACUCCCUGGCCACAGCAGAGAGCUGGCCUGGAAGAGGGGCAAUCGGGACAGAAUCCGGCGCCCUGACAGGGACUAGAACCCGGUGUGCUGGCGCCGCAAGGUGGAGGAUUAGCCCAGUGAGCCGUGGCGCCGGCCGUGGGUUUAUGAUUUUAUAGAUUAUACCUGGCACCCAUACAGAGCCUCUGUGUUCUCAUGCUAACUGACAUGGGCCUGAAUUUACCAUGAAGAUGGAUCUUCUGCUCCUGCUAUAUUUAAUAACCUCUGCAGUUACAGAUGCUGUGAAAGUAAAUAAAUAAUGCCAAUAGUUAGCUGAGAUUUAAAUAUUUGAGAUUGAAACACCUAAAGACUGUAUAUACUAAAAUUAAUAUCAAUAGGGAUAAUCUAAAUUAUUUUCUGAAAGUUUAACUAACCAACACAUGCAAACUGACCCUUGUACCUUCUACAUCUUUUAAUGAGUAGUAAGUGGAUAGAAUUUUGUCUGUGUUAACUCCAUAAUGAAGAUUAGCCCAAAUUCUGUCUUAUUCAGUAUUGCCCAAGGCUUGAAUCUUAAAAAGCACUUGUAUACAACUGUUGAAUAUAAAGAAUGAACAAAUUAAGUGAAUGAAUCAUUUUUAUUUCUUUGAAAGCACAGAAAGAGGGCCAGUAGGUUAAGCUGCUGCAUGCGAAGCUGGCAUACUAUAUUGGAGUGCCAAUUUGACUUCCAGAUUCUCCAGUUCCCAUCAAGCUCCCUACUAAUGCAUUUGGGAAGGUAGCAGAAGUGGCCCAGGCACUUGAUCCCCUUCUUCCCACACGGGGAAACCUGUGUGAAUUUUCUGGCUCCUGGCUUUGUUUUGGCCUAGCCCCGGUUAUUGUGGCCAUUUGUGGAGUAAAAAAAAACAGAUGAAACAUUUGUUUAUCUCUGUGUUAUUCUGUCUUUCAAAUAAAAUCAUUUUUUGUUUGUUUGUUUGUUUGUUUUUCCAAGAAAGAUUUCAUCUACUAGUUUAAUCCACAAAUUCCUUCAAUAGCUAUAAUAGGGCUGGUCUAGUCAAAGUUGAGAGUAAACAGAAUAGUCCAGCUCUCUCAUGUAAGUAGCAGUGAUCCAACUAGAAGAGCCAUCACCUGCUGCGUCCCAAGAUGUGCAUAAGAGGGAAGCUGUAAUCAGAAGCAGAGACGGAACUCCAACCCAGGCACACCAAUUAGGGACGAGGGCAUCCCAAGAGCAUCUUAAUUGCUAUAUCAAAUGGCCUGCUGAAAGUGCACAAAUUAUAACAAGAGACCUUGGGAAUGGUUUCAAUGUCAAAUAAAUUUCUUUCUUGCAUAUAGAGCCUGGACAGGGAGCUAUCUGGUGAGGUAGGCCUGACAGGUUACUCACUGUCCUAAACUCUACUAACCUUGUUUUUAAUUCUCUUCCUAAACAAGACAUCACAUCACAUCACAUCACAAUCACCUAUCCUGGGUUGUUGGGCAUGAUGUAUCACAGUUGAUACUUGUCAGUUAAGCAAAACCAUAUAUAUGUGAUCUGCUUGCUGAAAAAAUUUAAUUGACUAUUAUUUGAGGCAAGGAAAAAAACAAAAAUUAAAAGAGAAAAUUAAAUCUUCAUGAUGACAAAAGAUAACAAGGGCUGGCAAGGAUGCAGAGAAAUGGGACUCCAUUGGUGAGAAUAUACAGCUAUUGUAGAAGAUAGUAUAGAAGUAUAAAAAUAGAACUAGCACUUGAUCCAGCAGCCCCACUAAUCAGGAAUGUAGCAGAAAGCGGUCAACCAAUCUGUCAAAGAGACAGCCACACACCUAUGCUUAUUCCAGCACUAUUCACAAUAGCCAAAAACUGGAAACAACUUAUGAAUGGAUAAAUGGAUGAAUGGGUUAAGAAUAUAUGAUACAUGUAUAUGUCAUGGAAUACUGUUUAGCAGUAAAACAAAGGAUUAAAUCUUGUUAUUGGUGGUGAAACAGAGGCCAUUAUAUUAAUGAAAAUAAAUGAGACCUUAAAAGAUAAGUAUUAUAUGGUUUUAUUUACAUAUAGGACUUUAAGAAGAACUGAUCUGAUAGAAGUUAGAGUAGGAUGUCAGCAGCCAGUAAUUUGGAAGAUGGUGGAGAAAGAAGGAUGGGAAAAGAUUGGGAGGUGGAGGAGGAUGGGAAAAUUGCUGAGUUAUAGUCAGAUAGGAAUAAUAAGUUCUGGUUUUCUGUUGUUUCAGCAGGGUGCCUAUAGAUGAAAAUAGCUUAUGAUAUAAAGAUAACAUAGUUAUUUUUCUGAAAUAUAAAGCUAGGAGAGAAGAUUUUGAAUGUCUUCACCAAAAAAGAGAUGACAAAUUUUGAAGAGAUAGUUUUGCUCACCCUGAAUUGGAAACAGCACAAUGCAUGUGUGUUUUAAGACAUCACAUGCUAUUCUGUAGGUAUUGUAGACAAAAUUUUAUUGGUCAUUUAAAAAUAGGAAUAUUAUGUGACAGGCAUUUACACAUAUCAUUUCAUACGACCUUCACAAAAUAGUCUCUGUUGUAUAAUCUCCACUUAUGUAUAUUAUAUUAAGUAUAAUAUUAUAAAGUCAGCAUUAUCUCUAUUUUACACAUAAUCACACUGGGACUUAGAAAUAUGCACUGAUUGAUCUCAAGCCAUGUAUAUCCCAAGCCAUGUAUAAAGUUAUAAUUUAGAGAAGUGACAUUUAUCUCAUUCAAAGUCCACGAUCUUUUCACUAUCUCACUGUGUUCCCCAGGAAAAAGCAAACUAUGGGCUGGGGCCACUGAGGGUUGACCGGAAGAUGAGAAAUUGAAGCAACCAAAACGACAGUGAGGUUGACUAAUCUCCCACCUGAGUCCUCUCUUGGUUAGUGAUAGUCCAGAAUUAGGCCACGCUAAGUAAGACCAAAGCAAAGCAAAGCAAAACAAAACAAAACAAAACAGAAAUGAAAAACAUGCAAUAAUAUGUAAUUUUUUAAAAAAGGUGUAUUUGUUUAUGUGAAAGGCAGAGUGACAGAGAGGGAGUGGGAGAGAGACAGAGAUCUUCUAUCUGCUGGUUCACUCCCCAAAUGGCUGCAAUGGUCAGGACUGUUCUAGGCUGAAGCCAGGAGCAUGAAGCUCCAUCAGGGUCUUCCAUUUGGGUGGCAGGAGCCCAAGCACGUGGGUUAUUAUCCGUGGCCUUCCAAGGUGCAUUAGCAGGGAACUGGAUGGGAAGGAGAGCAGCUGGGACUCUCACUAACAUGCAAUAGGGGAUGCUGACAUCAUUAGCAGAAUUUAAUCCUCUGCACCACAUCGUUGGCCCCAUAUCUGCACCCGAUGUGGAAACUUACUCUUUUCUACUUUCUUUUGUAGGCAAGCAUCUGCAAUAUGUUGAUGGCUUCAACAACUCCAACAGUUUCAUUAAUUUUAAGUUUAAUUAAGCUUUGCCCUUUAGAAUGCUGAAUUGUUUUUACCAGUUUUUUUUUUGCUGAAAUUAAGUGGCAUAUCUGUUUUUAAAUAAUCAGUUAAAUAUUUUUGUGCUGUAUAAUGCACUGCAUCCCCCAAAAAGAAAAAUAGAGACAAAGAAUGAUUCAGUUGUGAUAUUCCUAGCUUGUAAUUUCCUACACAGAAUGGAAGUAUUUCAUUCCAACCUCUCAUGUUUUUAUUUUUCCUUUAAAAAUUUACAUUCUUUAUUUGUUAAGUGCCUAAGAACAUUUGUUUAUAUAAAGGGAGCCUUAUAGCAUUUGCUAUUAAGUGUUUCCCUGGUUUAAAAAAACAUAGAUCUUUGGAAUAAGUAAAUAUGCCACCAGCAAAAAACUUAUUGAAUAAUAGCAUGCUUACAAUGCUCAAUUUUUUGGUAAUUCAAAAUUUAUAUAUAGAUUUUGACUUUCUAAUCAAUGUCGGUGUAUUUCUGCUUUAUGACAUGCAAGGGUGCCAAGAGGAAGAAUUCAUUUUAAUCAAAUUUAGCAUCUCAGAAAUAACCACACAAACAAAUCAGCCAAACUCUUAUUUUAUGAACACUUGGUAGACAAAUCACUGUGUUGCUAAACUGUUUUACCUUGAAACUAGCUCUCAGUGUUCAAACUCUCACACUCUCAGCUUUGACCCAGCCUAGCCCUGGCUUUUGUGAGUAUCUGUCUAGUGAACAAGUUGAUGGAAGAGCUCUCUUGCUCUCUCUCUCUCUCCCCCUUACUUUCAAAUAAGUAAUUAAAUCCCUUUUUAAAAACACAAAACAUUUAAUUUUUUAAAUCAAGAUCACUAACUGUAUGCAUUAUAGAGAAGACAGUUGGGAAUAUUGACUACUCCUAAGGGUAAAAUGUGAUAAAUCUUAACUAAUAAUUAGUUUCUUUUUGUGUUUCCUUUGUCAGAUAUAAGCCAGCAUUGUGAUUUUCACAUUUAAUGUUGUUAUUGACAAGAAACUUCCUGAAAGGUCAAAAAGAGAAAGUUUACUGAACCCCAGAGCGAGCUACCAUAGGAGAGAGCUGUCUAUGAGAAGUUAAGGUCAUGCUAGAAGAAAACCUGGCAGGGAGAUUGCCUAGGAAAUGAAGAUCUUACUCUCACCAAAUGCACUCUAAUCUGCUGUGCCUCCAGCUGGUGAGACCCACCCAGAUGUUGAUGGUGGGGGUGUCUUUGCCCCCAUCUGCACAAUCAGCUUUCCAAGACAUAGAGCUCCAACGUCAGGAUUGGGAGCAGGUCCUCUGCAACAUGGAAAUGAGAAAUCGCCAUGGCUGAGAGAGUCAUGGAGAAGAUCCCAGUGAAAGGACUCAUUCCAUCAAACAUAAAGAUGUCUCAUAAAGCUAUGGUAGUUAUGGUAGAAUGCAAGGGAAUAAGUUAGACAAUUAGACCAAGCAACAAAAUAAAGAGCCUGGACACAGAUCCAGGCCAUGUAAACAGAUUGAAAAGGUGGCUUUGUGGAACAGUAAAAAAUACCAUAAACUUCUCAGUGCAUCAUGUUGGCACCACUAGAUAUAAUGUGAAAAAAAGUUCAUUCUGACCUUACACCACUCCCUAAAGUCAAUGAGACAUGGUCUAUGAGUAUCUAUCUAUAAAAGGCAAAAUAAUAGGGGCGGGUGUUGUGGUGUUGCAAGUUACGCUGCCACCUGCAAUGCUGGCCUCCUAUAUGGGUGCUGAUUUGAGUUCCCGCUGCUCUACUUCCAAACCAGCUCUCUGCUAAUGCACCUGGGAGAGUCGUGGAGAAAGACCCAGGUGCUUUGGUCCAUGCACCCAUGUGAGAGUCAUGGCCAUUUGGGGAGUGAAUCAGCAGAUGGAAUCUCUCUCUCUCUCUCUCUCUCUCUCUUUCUCUCUCUUUGUGUGUGUGUGUGUGUGCCUCUCCCUCUCUUUCUGUAACUGCCUUUCAAAUAAAUAAAUAUUUUAGAAAAGGCAUAAUAAUGAAAAUCUCUACAACAAAAUUCAAGCUUACGGAUUAUAAAACAGAAGCCCUGUGUUUUUUCAUCUGUAAUUUAACCAUAUUUGACUAUCAAAAAAUCAUCUAGUGAAAUUAAAACCAUAAACAAAAAAGACUGAAAGACAAAAAUAUGCAUAUUCAAAAUGUAUAAAGAAUGCCUUUACAUGAAAGUGAAACAGUGUGAUAAAAAUGACCAUUAAUUGUAAAAUGAUAUUUUACAAAAGUGAGUGUUAAUUUUUCAAUCAAUAUAUGAAAAAAAUGUUUAAUUAUGAACAAAAAUGAGUCAUUCAUGGAAAAUGAGGGAAUAUAGAUUUUGAACCAGGUAUGUAUCAGUAGUUACAUGAGAGGGUCUUCACAAAGCUUGUGGAAAGUACAUAUUAUGAAAAGAAAUUAUGCAUGGAUUUCAAAAAUAUUCUGCACCAAAAUAUACUUAUGUGUUUAUUCCAUUUUCCCACAGAUGUUUUUACUUAUCCUUGUAUGGGUAGAGGCAGUGAGUGUGGGCAUAGUUUUUUCUCAUUGCUUGUAUUUUCACAUUGAAAUAAGGGUUGACAUCAAUUACUAAAUGAAGAUAAUGGAGGAUGAAUUAGAGGAAUAAGGAGCAAACAGAAAUUAAAUAUUAGCUUCAAGAGUAGCAUGUAGGACUAUCUCAAUUAGAUGCUUUUCAUGCACUAUGGGUGUAACUUUUGCAAUUUCAGAUACAAGAGCAAAACUUGUAUAAUGUUAUAGGAGAAGAUUCAUUCUUAGUGUGAAUGUUAGCAACCUUAGAGUGACUUUUUCUUUCCUUAUUAAGUCAGAAGCUUCUACCUGUUCAAGUAAAGGAAGCAAUUUACAGCUUCUCUUUUGCAUGGAUUUUUUCAGCAUCACUACACUUCUUGGAAGCCAUUAUUAAGUGACAUAAGGGAUACCUGAACACUAGCACUAUGUUCCAGCAACAGGUGAUCUGAUAACCAAGAUGAUUACUAAGUAGCAGACGCUAAAGCAACAUAGCUACUCUAGAGAAAGGGAGGAUUGACGUCACAGGUAGGAUGGAGCAGGGUGCUAUGAAGGGUCAUCACACUGCCCAGAGCAGUAUGCGAUUUAAUUGUUUAUUUCUGAAAGUUUUCCAUGUAAUGUGUCAGGCCAUAGUUGAAUGCAAAAACCAACAUUGCAGAAGGCAAAACUGAGACUAUGCGUGGACUACUGUAUGUAAAUGGGGAUCACCAGUAAUCAGCACAUGAUUUGUUGGGAAAAGUAGCAGUUAUGCAAGAAAUGGGAUAUUCAAGGAAUGGAAACAAAAAGAACCAAAAUACCUAAAUAAACAUGGACUACUCAGAUGCACAGUCCUCUGUUCGGCAGCUCAAAAUUUUAGAGGCGGAGGGAAGGAUAGUCAGUUAGAAUCCAUGUAAAUAUUAAACAAGAGAGCAGACAUUUGGUUCAGGGGUUAAGAUGCUGCGGGGAUGCUCACAGCCAGCCAGUUCAAGGUCCAGCUCUGCUUCUGAUUCCAACUUUUGGCUCAUGCACACCUGGAGAGACAGCAGGUAAUGGCUCAAGUACUUGUGUCUCUGCUACCCAUGUGGGAGAUCCGAGUUGUAUUCCAGGUUCCUAACUUCAGCCUGGCCCAGCAGAGUCUGUUGUGAACAUUUGGGGAGAAAACCAGUAGAUGGACAUUCUCUGUCUCUGUCUCUGUUUUGCUUACUCUAAUGGCUUUGCAAAGAAAAGGAAAAUGGUUGACUUUUGCAAUAAUUUAGAGGAGCACCUGUUCUACCACACAGUCAGUGGUAGGAGAAGUAUGGAAUAAAACACUCAAGUUUAGGAGGACAAAGGAGGUGAUGGCACAUCUUCAAGGGAAAGCAUUGCAGCAAGGAGAAUAAGGAAGCGCUCAGAUAAUAAGUGAAAAAAUAGAACAGGCUGAUAACCUUUGGAUUGAAGGCAAUCAGCAAUGAAAAGGUACCAGUAAGAUGAUCAGAAUUAGGCUAGAUUUUUUUUUUUUUGACAGGCAGAGUGGACAGUGAGAGACAGAGAGAAAGGUCUUCCUUUGCCGUUGGUUCACCCUCCAAUGGCCACCGCAGCCGACGCGCUGCGGCCGGCGCACCGCGCUGAUCCGAAGGCAGGAGCCAGGUGCCUCCUCCUGGUCUCCCAUGGGUUCAGGGCCCAAGUACUUGGACCAUCCUCCACUGCACUCCCAGGCCACAGCAGAGAGCUGGCCUGGAAGAGGGGCAACCGGGACAGAAUCCAGCGCCCCGACCGGGACUAGAACCUGGUGUGCCGGAGCCUCAGGCGGAGGAUUAGCCUAGUGAGCUGUGGCGCUGGCCAGAAUUAGGCUAGAUUUUUAAGACAGACAAAGGAAUUUUGUAAUGUGUUGGAAGGGACCUAUGAAUGAGAGAGGAAGCAUAGAUGAUUCCAUACAGAUGAGAUAAAGCAUCGGAAUUAAUGCUGAAACUGACUGAGAUGGAGAAGAUGGAGGAAGGACAGUGUGCAUAGAGAAAUAGGAGUUGAGAUUUGAGCACAAGAAGUCUUAGGGGCCUAUUAAACAGGGCAUUGUCAAGAUGGAAAACAGAUGCAUAAGUUAGAGGAGUUGUUGGAAGCAAUCCACAUACACACAGAUAAUAUUUUCUGUCUUGUUUUUAAUGUGAAAUGUGUGUGAACAUUGAUGAUGUCAAUAAAUUGUUGUCAGACACAAACAAAAUUGGAGCUGGGAAAUCAUGAAGGUGGAAGAGGUAGGGUUCAUGCCUGGGUGUCCAGGAUAAGUAUUUUAUCAAAGAUUCCAAAGACUCUGAAGAGAUUUCUGCUUCUACAUAUAUCAGGUGCCUUUCUUUUUUUAAUAAAGGUUUUUUUGUUUAUUUGUUUAUUUAUUAUAUAUUUGAAAGUCAGAGUUACACAGAAAGAGGAGCUGCAGAGAGACAGAGAGAGAGAGGUCUUCCAUCCAAUGGUUCACUCCCCAAUUGGCCACAAUGGCCGGAGCUGUGCAGAUCCGAAGCCAGGAGCCAGGAGCUUCCUCUAGGUUUCCCAUGUGGGUACAGGGGCCCAAGGACUUGGGUCAUCUUUUACUGCUUUCCUAGGCAAGAUCAAAGAGCUGAAUCGGAAGUGGAACAGCUAGGUCUUGAACGGGUGCCCAUAUAGGAUGCUAGCACUGCAGGCCAGGGUGUUAACCCACUGCGCCACAGCACUGGCCCCAGGGUGUGUUUCCAAACUCCCAGAUAUGGCCAGAUUUCUGGGGCAAAGUUCACCUUCAUAUUCCUUAAGGCUGUGACGAUUCAAACAUGCUCUGCACACAACACUUCCCAGCAGUGUCACCUUUAAUUAACAAGCUGAUGUCAAUCCUGCCUAGGAUCUCCUAGACCAAUGACCUUUGUCCCCAAGUGGCUUAGUAAAUCUCUCCCUUUUUUACUUUAAAAACUACCACUUGCUUCAACUUCCUUGGAUACAUCCAUUGUUUAUUGUGACAUUCAUAUCCCAAUUAUAAGUUUCUGUCAUUCCCAAAUAACAUGAACAUUCUUUAGUGAAUCUCUCUACUGCUAUGAUCAACAUAUGCUUACAGCAAAGUACGACAGAUAUCUAAAUUUAAAUAGGUGUCUAUAAAUUAAACACCCAAAUACCACCAUCCAGAUAAAAUAAUGGAACCCACCAAAAAACCUAUAAUCUUGAAAUAGGAUGUGCUAUGAAAUUUUUGUUUGUUUUAUAAUGCUUGCAUCUAAAAAUGCAUCCCUAAACAACAUAAAUCAGUCUUCUAUGUGUUCAGGGAGGGAUUUGCAUGAAUAGAAUCAUGCCAUGUGUGCAAUCUCAACUUCUUUGACUCGGCAUUCAUUUGUGAGCUUAAUCUAUGCUGUGUGUCUCUCCUGUUUUUUUUUCAUUUUUCUAUGUGUAAUAUUGCACAAUUCAGAUGCUCAGUGUAGAGACACUUGGCCGAAGAUAGACACUACUUUGAGAGCUGGAUCUUAUAAGCAAUGCUACCAUAAAUAUUCCUGAUGAGUGUUUCAGUGCUCAAAUGCAGUUAUCUUGGGGCUAUGCCCCAAGUUGGAAUUACUGUGUCACAAGUACAAUUUAUCUUCAAUAUCACCAAAAAGUGGAAUUCUGUCUCCUAAUAUUUUGUAUUAAUUGGCACUCCUAUUAACAGUGUAUGAGAAUUCCCUUUGCUAUGAAAAUUUAAUUUUUAAAAAUUUGGUAUCUCUUAUUGUGGUUUUAUUUUGCUUCCUGUUUAUGUCAGAUAUCCCUGGAAACUAAUGCAAUUUCCAUGCUUAUUAGAAAUGCUUCAUGUUGAUGAGAGUCACUGUCACGUAUAGACUAAGGAAUUAUUAAUCAUGCAAGUAUAGAUAUGAUUUCCAGGAAUCCUCUAUUCUCGUUCGUUCUUUAGUAUAUUUUGAAGGUGUAGGGUCAAAUGUUUUAUCAAGUGUGAAUGUGUACUAAACAGCUGACACUAGAUGUUACAUGUAUUUAAUAAUGUACUAGAAGCCGGUGCCGCAGUUUACUUGGCUAAUCCUCCACCUGUAGCACCGGCACCCUGGGUUCUAGUCCCGGUUGGGGCGCUGGAUUCUGUCCUGGUUGCUCCUCUUCCAGUCUAGCUUUCUGCUGUCGCCCAGGAGGGCAGUGGAUGAUGGCCCAAGUGCUUGGGCCCUGCACCCGCAUGGGAGACUGGGAGGAAGUACCUGGCUCCUGGCUUCGCCGUGGAAGCCAU